rnacentral:sRNA from 1 species
AAGUGGCACAGGCCAGUAGUCCUUCCCCGGAGUGAGCCUCACAGCUGGUCCCUGCUAGAGCAGCUGGGCCUGGCCGGGGCAGACCUGGCGGCCCCCGGGGUACAGCAGCAGCUGGAGCUGGAGCGGGAACGGCUGCGGCGGGAAAUCCGCAAGGAGCUGAAGCUGAAGGAGGGUGCUGAGAACCUGCGGCGGGCCACCACUGACCUGGGCCGCAGCCUGGGCCCCGUGGAGCUGCUGCUGCGGGGCUCCUCGCGCCGCCUCGACCUGCUGCACCAGCAGCUGCAGGAGCUGCACGCCCAUGUGGUGCUUCCCGACCCGGCGG